AUUGAACGCUGGCGGCAUGCCUUACACAUGCAAGUCGAACGGCAGCGGGGGAGAAGCUUGCUUUUCCUGCCGGCGAGUGGCGAACGGGUGAGUAAUACAUCGGAACGUGCCCUGUAGUGGGGGAUAACUAGUCGAAAGAUUAGCUAAUACCGCAUACGACCUGAGGGUGAAAGUGGGGGACCGCAAGGCCUCAUGCUAUAGGAGCGGCCGAUGUCUGAUUAGCUAGUUGGUGGGGUAAAGGCCUACCAAGGCGACGAUUAGUAGCUGGUCUGAGAGGACGAUCAGCCACACUGGGAAUGAGACACGGCCCAGACUCCUACGGGAGGCAGCAGUGGGGAAUUUUGGACAAUGGGCGAAAGCCUGAUCCAGCAAUGCCGCGUGUGUGAAGAAGGCCUUCGGGUUGUAAAGCACUUUUGUCCGGAAAGAAAUGGCUCUGGUUAAUACCUGGGGUCGAUGACGGUACCGGAAGAAUAAGGACCGGCUAACUACGUGCCAGCAGCCGCAGUAA
rnacentral:rRNA from 1 species